UACGAAGGGGGCUAGCGUUGCUCGGAAUCACUGGGCGUAAAGCGCACGUAGGCGGUUUCUUAAGUCAGGGGUGAAAUCCUGGAGCUCAACUCCAGAACUGCCUUUGAUACUGGGAGACUUCGAGUCCGGGAGAGGUGAGUGGAACUGCGAGUGUAGAGGUGAAAUUCGUAGAUAUUCGCAAGAACACCAGUGGCGAAGGCGGCUCACUGGCCCGGUACUGACGCUGAGGUGCGAAAGCGUGGGGAGCAACAGG
rnacentral:rRNA from 1 species